rnacentral:lncRNA from 1 species
CUAUAUAAAGUCCCUCAUGGGCGUUUGUAACUCUCUUAAGAGAGUAUGGGGGAUUUCCCCAUCUCCUUCAUAAAUAUAAAAGUGUGUUCUUGAUCAGAUUCCCUUAAUCUACCCCUUUCUUAGUCUUUAAUCUAUCCAAUCUUUCAAAGUCUCUUUGUUUCUGAUUCAAGUUCAUACUAGUUUCAUCAGACCUCUUAUUCAACUAGUUCAAGACCUUAUUCUUUGUCUUUACUGGCUUUUCAUACACAUACACAGCCAGAGCUCUCAAAUCUCAUAUGGUAUCAGAGCCAGGUUCAUCAGAACCUGAGCUGAGCUUCCGCAAAUCCACAUCUCUCACCUUAGUUCAAAUCCAAGCCAUGAAGAAGACAGCUCCAUCCGGUUCAGCUUCUCCAUGAAGACUGAAGCUUGGCGUGUCAUUCUGGUUCCUCAAACCUUUCUCAUACCUGUCUUGAUGAAGAGCCACCUUGGAAGCAAAGGAGGAUGGAGAGGCGUCAUGAACCUCAGGCCAAAACUCCUUGUCCAUGAGCUGCUUGCAUCCGGCUACAAGAAGAGUAGAUGUCAUGAAGAUGGCGACUUGAAGUAUGAAGAAAGGAGGGGUGUUUGAGCUGUAGAAACAAGAAGGUGGCCAUGAGUAGAAGGAGGAGAGGCUGGGUGACGAUCCAUACUCUCAUGUCCAACAAAACCAUGAGCCAUAAGCCAUUGGAGGUUCAAGGAACCAAACCGGUUCCUUGGCUGUAAGCUAUUACUGUCCCUUCUUGAUAAUGAGCUUGUGUUGUGACUGUGCCUGGUUAUUGUGAUGUGUAAUGAUUGAAACCCUGAGGAUAAUGUGUGAUUGCUAAAUAUAGUUAGUUGAAUCUGUCCCAGGAUGCUUUAAAGGCUUGUUUAGUGUUUAAAGAGUAAAAUGCUUGCUCCUGUUAAGUAAUGAGUUUGCUAAAGGUGAAAUGAUAUUGUUUGAAGCUCAUGAACUGAAAACAGAUUGAAAGUAAUGCAUUGUCUGAUGUUAAGUGAUGAUAGUAAUGCUUAGCCUAAGUUAUAAAUGAAUGUGUGAUGGAUUGU